GAGUUUGAUCAUGGCUCAGGAUGAACGCUGGCGGCGUGCUUAACACAUGCAAGUCGAACGAAGCGGGAAGGAAGAAGUUCUUCGAAAUGGAUUUUUUCUUUGCUUAGUGGCGGACGGGUGCGUAACACGUAGGUAACCUGCCCUGUGCUUGGGAAUAACUCCGGGAAACCGGUGCUAAUGCCGAAUAAUAUCGCCUGUCGGCAUCGAGAGGCGAUCAAAGAAUGUUGGCACAGGAUGGGCCUGCGCCGGAUUAGCUGGUUGGUGAGGCAACGGCUCACCAAGGCGACGAUCCGUAGCCGACCUGAGAGGGUGAUCGGCCACACUGGAACUGAGACACGGUCCAGACUCCUACGGGAGGCAGCAGUGGGGAAUAUUGCACAAUGGGGGAAACCCUGAUGCAGCAACGCCGCGUGAGCGAUGAAGGCUUUCGAGUCGUAAAGCUCUGUCCUAUGGGAAGAUGAUGACG
rnacentral:rRNA from 1 species